AGUGAACGCUGGCGGUAGGCCUAACACAUGCAAGUCGAACGGCAGCACAGUAAGAGCUUGCUCUUACGGGUGGCGAGUGGCGGACGGGUGAGGAAUACAUCGGAAUCUACUUUUUCGUGGGGGAUAACGUAGGGAAACUUACGCUAAUACCGCAUACGACCUACGGGUGAAAGCAGGGGAUCUUCGGACCUUGCGCGAUUGAAUGAGUCGAUGUCGGAUUAGCUAGUUGGCGGGGUAAAGGCCCACCAAGGCGACGAUCCGUAGCUGGUCUGAGAGGAUGAUCAGCCACACUGGAACUGAGACACGGUCCAGACUCCUACGGGAGGCAGCAGUGGGGAAUAUUGGACAAUGGGCGCAAGCCUGAUCCAGCCAUACCGCGUGGGUGAAGAAGGCCUUCGGGUUGUAAAGCCCUUUUGUUGGGAAAGAAAAGCAGCAGGUUAAUACCCCGCUGUUCUGACGGUACCCAAAGAUUAAGCACCGGCUAACUUCGUG
rnacentral:rRNA from 1 species